rnacentral:rRNA from 1 species
AUGGCGACGGAGGCGGCGCCGGAGUGGCUGGAGAAGGGCGACAACGCGUGGCAGCUGGCGGCGGCGGCGCUGGUGGGGCUGCAGAGCGUGCCGGGCCUGGUCAUCCUCUACGGCAGCAUCGUCAAGAAGAAGUGGGCCGUCAACUCCGCCCUCAUGGCGCUCUACGCCUUCGCCGCCACCAUGCUCUGCUGGUGCCUCUGGGGCUUCCGCAUGUCCUUCGGCGACCGCCUCCUCCCCUUCGUCGGCCGCCCCGACUUCGCUGGCCUCGACGCCGCCGGCUUCCUUUCCGCCCAGGGCUUCGCCGGCGCCUACCCGGCCGCCACGCUCCUCUUCUUCCAGUUCGUCUUCGCCGCCAUCACGCUCAUCCUCGUCGCCGGCUCGCUCCUGGGACGGAUGAACUUCCGGGCAUGGAUGAUCUUCGUGCCCCUCUGGCUCACCUUCUCCUACACCGUCGGCGCCUUCAGCAUCUGGAGCCCCAACGGGUUCCUCUUCAAGGCCGGCGUCAUGGACUUCGCCGGCGGCUACGUCAUCCACCUCUCCUCCGGCAUCGCCGGCUUCACCGCCGCCUUCUGGGUCGGCCCGAGGACGGCCAAGGACAGGGAGGCCUUCCCGCCCAACAACAUCCUCCUGACUCUCGCCGGCGCGGGGCUGCUGUGGAUGGGGUGGACGGGGUUCAACGGCGGCGCGCCCUACGCCGCCAACAUCGACGCGUCCGUCGCCGUCGUCAACACGCACCUCUGCACGGCCACGAGCCUCCUGGUGUGGCUCAUCCUCGACUGCUUCGUCUUCGGCCGCCCCUCGGCCUUCGGCGCCGUCCAGGGCAUGAUCACCGGCCUCGUCUGCAUCACCCCGGCCGCCGGGCUGGUGCAGGGCUGGGCGGCGAUGCUGAUGGGGCUCGUCUCCGGGAGCGUGCCGUGGUUCACCAUGAUGGUGCUGCACAAGCGGUGCCGGGUCCUGAGGCACGUGGACGACACGCUCGCCAUCCUCCACACGCACGGGGUGGCCGGCAGCCUCGGCGGCCUCAUGACGGGCCUCCUGGCCGAGCCGCGGCUCUGCCGGCUCUUCUUCGGCGACGACCCGCGGUACGUGGGCUUCGUGUACGCGGUCAGGGGCGGGCGCGUCUCCGCGGGGUUUCGGCAGAUGGGCGUGCAGCUGGCCGGGAUCGGAUUCAUCGUGGCGCUAAACGUCGUCGUCACCAGCAUCGUGUGCCUGCUCGUCCGGGUGGCCGUGCCGCUCCGGCUCAGCGAGGAGCAGCUGGCGGCCGGCGACGACGCCAUACACGGCGAGGACGCGUACGCGGUGUGGGGCGACGGCGAGACGUACGAGCAGUCCGUGCAUGGCAGCCGGCGAUACCAAAUGACGGCCAAUCCCAUGUCGUCCAAGGUUGAUGAGAUCAUCUGA